rnacentral:rRNA from 1 species
GCUGACGAGUGGCGGACGGGUGAGUAAUGUCUGGGAAACUGCCUGAUGGAGGGGGAUAACUACUGGAAACGGUAGCUAAUACCGCAUAACGUCGCAAGACCAAAGAGGGGGACCUUAGGGCCUCUUGCCAUCGGAUGUGCCCAGAUGGGAUUAGCUAGUAGGUGGGGUAACGGCUCACCUAGGCGACGAUCCCUAGCUGGUCUGAGAGGAUGACCAGCCACACUGGAACUGAGACACGGUCCAGACUCCUACGGGAGGCAGCAGUGGGGAAUAUUGCACAAUGGGCGCAAGCCUGAUGCAGCCAUGCCGCGUGUAUGAAGAAGGCCUUCGGGUUGUAAAGUACUUUCAGCGGGGAGGAAGGGAGUAAAGUUAAUACCUUUGCUCAUUGACGUUACCCGCA